AAAGCAAGUGGGUGGUCUCUAUCAGGAAGACUCUAUUCAGGAAAAAACUUGAAAGACCAGAAGGAGAGGAGUGGCGUGUGUUCUGCAAACACAAACUGUGGUCAACCAGCCAGCAGCAAAAUCAGACAUCCAUCAGUGUUACACACCGAGACAUCUUCAGACAGACGAGCAUGGACACAGAGAGAAAGAUGCUAAUAUUCACUCUGCUUUUGACAGCUGUUUGCAGUCCUGUGUUUAGUGGAGAAUGGAAGGCUACUGUUGUUAAAGACCUUGAUGCUCUCGUUACCUCCUGUGUGGUGGUGCCCUGUUCGUUCACCCAUGGUGGAGGACUGCUUCCGAACUCCAGACUCAGAGGACUCUGGCAUCGUCAAGACAAGUUUGAUCAAUUUAUCUAUCACGAGGAUCAGACAAGGGUCUUGGACAACUUUAAAGAGCGAACACAACUGUUGGGACGUCUGGGUGAAAACAACUGCACCUUGGAAAUAACUGAUAUGAAAGAUCAUGACAACGGUCCUUUCUGUUUCCGAGUCGAAGUAGUGCGUAAAGAGACCAAUGAACCCACCAAAGACAAGUUCUCCUUUGUUGAGGACUGUGUCCAGUUCAAAAUGCUCCAUGAUGCUCCAAAACCUGUCCUGACACCACCAAAGACAGCCAUUGAAGGAAAACCCUACACUAUCAUUUGCUCAGUCACACAUACCUGUCCCUCCCAUCUGCCUAAACUCACAUGGAACCGGGGCACUGAAGAAGACAUCACUGAGAUUCAUAAACAACACCAUGGUGGAAACUGGGAGGCAACGUCCACCUUAACAUUUGUAGCAGAAGCCAAGGACGACUACACUGAGCUCACCUGCACAGCUGAAUUUUAUGGAGGAAGGAAGGAAUCCUCCACAACUGUGACGCUCUAUGUAAAACGUUCUGAAAACUACAACCACAUCAUCAUCCCUGCUGCAGUGGGGAUUGGCACUGCUGUGAUCUUUGGACUCCUCUGUGUUUUCAUGGUGAAGAAAUACAAGAAACGUAUUGCAGAGCUCCAAAGUCAAGUAAGGGCAGGGCCAGAUUCUGAAGAUGAGAAGCGAAGAAACAGGUUUCUCUAAAAUACGUGAGACCACACAUUUUUUUUCCAUUCUUUAUUUUUCUGGACUUUAACAGUUUAAUUAUUGUAACUGUACAUUUACGCACAGAGGGGAAUGGACUCGAAGUCCUUGAGGCAGUCCAACAACACCAAGAAGAAGGAGCUCAAAGUCACCAGUAUCUGAGUCCUAUAUGUGGCUUUUAAAGUAGGAAUCAAAUUAAAGGAAGGACAAAAGACACAUGAAGGAGGAUGGGGGAUUGUUUUGAGCAAUUUUGUGAGAUCUCUGCCCAUAAUGUUUCUUUGUUAAUACGCCUUUACUACAGAAGAAACUCAUUUACAUUUACUAACUCAUAUGUUUUCCUGUUUCCUGAACUGAUAUAUAAGUAGUGUUAUGUAACAAAUGUUCAUUGUAAAAGUCACCCUUUUCAUAUACACAAGUAGACGUUAUUGGUAUCGGGAUAUUGGCCUUGGUAUUUCUUGAUGUCGGAUUGUGGGCUAAAAUAGUGGUAUCGCACAUGCAUAAUUAAAAGCAAGUGGGUGGUCUCUAUCAGGAAGAUUUUAUUCGGGAAAAAACUUGAAAGACCAGAAGGAGAGGAGUGGCGUGUGUUCUGCAAACACAAACUGUGGUCAACCAGCCAGCAGCAAAAUCAGGUAGGAUUUUAACAACACAAAAUUAUAAUUGAACUAAAUAAACUACAAGUCUCUUGAGUUGUGUAGCGGACUUCAUGGACUUUUAUGGAAACAAUUCCCCUUAUAACGGUGUUGCCUGGAGUUUCGGUUUCUGUUUGCAUGGUGUUGUUAAAGACAGGAAAUAAAGGCCACACAGAUGCGUUGUGAACGUGAGAAAUUUUCUUUACUUUUUUUUUCAAACACAAUGGAACUGUCGUGUUCCAUUGUGUUUGGAUUUCCUGUUUUAUUUUGUUAAGUCCCUUCGUUUCCAGUUUUGUGUUACUCUGUGUAUUCCCCAUGUGAUUCCCCUGAUUUGUUUCACCUGUCGUCAUCCCUUGGCCUUCUUGUAUAUAUAUAGCCCUGCCUUUCCCUUUGUUGGCUGUCGUGUUGUUAGUCUAGUUGAGUCAUAUCCCUAGAUUCAAUCUUAUUUCCCUGUCUUUUAGUUUCAGUUUUUGUGGUUUUUUUCCUGCAUUUGUGGAGGAUGGGGGAUACUUGUUUUUUUUGGCAAGUUUGCUUUUUAAAUCAGUUUGCUUUGAUUCACUUAUCAGCUUCAGUGAAGAAAAAAACAAGAUACAAUUCUUAAAGUUAAUAAGCAUGUCAGUAGUGCAUAAUCUUUCUGCUUUGUUUUCUUUGUUGACAAUUAUAGACAGUGAUAGCAGGGUGUGGUAUCUUCCAUAAAUGUGUGCUGAUAAUGUUUCUUUGUUAAUAUGCCUAUGCUACAUAUUAAACUCAUUUACUUACUUCUUUUCCUGAACUGAUAUAUAAGCAAUAUUAUGUAAGUUCUUCUCUUUGUUCAUUAAAUUUGACUUUGUUCUCA